AGUUACGUCGGGGAUCAGGGCUUCAAUACAUGAAUUUGGGGAGAACAUAAGUUCAUGACACAUGUGUACAAAACUUUCAUUGGUAUAGAUGAGAUUCAGUGAACCAAGUCUCAGCUCUUCAAAAUGAUUCUACAAUGUCCAAUAGUUUCCAUCCCCCUCAACCUGGGUCUGAUCUGCUAGCAGUGAAGGAAAGGCAAAUUAGAUUUUUAAGUUUUAAGCGCCAGGAAGCAUGCUGUGGGGCUCCAGAGAACAUAACUACAAUUACACAAG